rnacentral:rRNA from 1 species
AGCUUGAUCGGCGCUCAGAUUGAACGCUGGCGGCAGGCCCAACAUGCAAGUCGAGCGGAUGAAGGAGCUUGCUCCUGGAUUCAGCGGCGGACGGGUGAGUAAUGCCUAGAAUCUGCCUGGUAGUGGUGGAUAACGUCCGGAAACGGGCGCUAAUACCGCAUACGUCCUGAGGGAAAGUGGGGAUCUUCGGACCUCACGCUAUGAUGAGCCUAGGUCGGAUUAGCUAGUUGGUGGGUAAAGGCCUACCAAGGCGACGAUCCGUAACUGGUCUGAGAGGAUGAUCAGUCACACUGAACUGAGACACGGUCCAGACUCCUACGGAGGCAGCAGUGGGAAAUGGACAAUGGGCGAAAGCCUGAUCCAGCCAUGCCGCGUGAAGAAGGCUCGGAUUGUAAAGCACUUUAAGUUGGGAGAAGGGCAGUAAGUUACCUUGCUGUUUGACGUUACCAACAGAAUAAGCACCGGCUAAUCCGUGCCAGCAGCGGUAAUACGAAGGGGCAAGCGUUAAUCGGAAUUACUGGGCGUAGAGCGCGUAGGUGGUUCAGCAGUUGGAUGAAAUCCCCGGGCUCAACCUGGAACUGCAUCCAAACUACUGAGCUAGAGUACGGUAGGUGGAAUUCCUGUAGCGGUGAAAUGCGUAGAUAUAGAACACCAGUGGCGAAGGCGACCACCUGGACUGAUACCGACACUGAGGUGCGAAAGCGUGGGAGCAACAGGAUUAGAUACCCUGGUAGUCCACGCCGCAAACGAUGUCGACCAGCCGUUGGGAUCCUUGAGAUCAUAGUGGCGCAGCUAACGCGAUAAGUCGACCGCCGAGAGUACGCAAGGUUAAAACUCAAAACCGACGGGGGCCCGCAAGCGGUGGAGCAUGGUUUAUGAAGCAACGCGAAGAACCUUACCUGGCCUUGACAUGCUGAGAACUUUCCAGAGAUGGAUUGGUGCCUUCGGGAACUCAGACACAGGUGCUGCAUGGCUGUCGUCAGCUCGUGUCGAGUUAACUCGCAACGAUGCAACCCUUGUCCUAGUUACCAGCACCUCGGGUGGGCACUCUAAGGAGACUGCCGGUGACAAACCGGAGGAAGCGUGGAUGACGUCGUCAUGGCCCGGCCAGGGCUACACACGUGCUACAAUGGUCGGUACAAAGGGUUGCCGUUGCCGCGAGGUGGAGCUAAUCCCAUAAAACCGAUCGUAGUCCGGAUCGCAGUCUGCAACUCGACUGCGUGAAGUCGGAAGUUAGUAAUCGUGAAUCAGAAUGUCCGGUGAAUACGUUCCCGGGCCUUGUACACACCGCCCGCUCACCAUGGGAGUGGGUUGCUCAGAAGUAGCUAGUCUAACCGCAAGGGGGACGGUUACCACGGAGUGAUUCAUGGCUGGGUGAAGUCGUAACAAGCCGUAGGGAACCCGCGGCUG